rnacentral:rRNA from 1 species
CAGCGCCACGAGUGGGGACCACGUUUAUUGGGCCUAAAGCGUCCGUAGCCGGUCUGUUAAAUCUUUUGUGAAAUCGUAGGGCUUAACCUUACGGCUGGCAAGAGUCACUGGCAGACUUGGGACCGGGAUGGGCAAGAGGUAUUCCAGGGGUAGCGGUAAAAUGUUAUAAUCCCUGGAGGACCACCUGUGGCGAAGGCGUCUUGCUAGAACGGAUUCGACGGUGAGGGACGAAAGCCAGGGGAGCGAUCCGGAUUAGAUACCCGAGUAGUCC